CCGAGUGUGACCCCCUCGUAAAAAAGGGGGGUGCCUCCCGUCCUUUGCAGGCCUCUUGGGGCUUUCAGACUUUGCUUCGGCGGGGCUGCCCCGCCGGAACACCCUCAAGAAAAUCUCGAAAAAACCGUUCCGUCCGAGGUUGCGAUAAUAAAA
rnacentral:misc_RNA from 1 species